UAAAUUAUAAUUUAAGAACACGUAUAAAUAUUUAAACCAGCAGAGGACAGGUGUUAUAAAUUACAACUAGAACCUUCAAGUACCUCGUUCAACAACAAUAAAGAUGAAAUUUGCAUCAGCUUUCAUCGUGGCACUUGCUACCUUUCUGGCAUUCAUCGAUCUCACGAUCGCCAAACCUGAACCUAAGCCUUUUGCAGGUUAUGGUGAUUACUCCUAGACCUGAUGUUAUUUAUGGCUAACUUGUUUCGCAAUGAAAAGAAAUAAAACUUUAUGAGAGUU